CCUACGGGGGGCUGCAGUAGGGAAUAUUGCUCAAUGGGGGAAACCCUGAAGCAGCAACGCCGCGUGGAGGAUGAAGGUUUUCGGAUUGUAAACUCCUUUUGUUAGAGAAGAUAAUGACGGUAUCUAACGAAUAAGCACCGGCUAACACCGUGCCAGCAGCCGCGGUAAUACGGAGGGUGCAAGCGUUACUCGGAAUCACUGGGCGUAAAGAGCGCGUAGGCGGGUUAGCAAGUCAGAUGUGAAAUCCUAUGGCUUAACCAUAGAACUGCAUUUGAAACUGUUAUUCUAGAGUAUGGGAGAGGUAGGUGGAAUUCUUGGUGUAGGGGUAAAAUGCGUAGAGAUCAAGAGGAAUACUCAUUGCGAAGGCGACCUGCUAGAACAUAACUGACGCUGAUGCGCGAAAGCGUGGGGAGCAAACAGGAUUAGAUACCCUAGUAGUC
rnacentral:rRNA from 1 species